rnacentral:lncRNA from 1 species
GGGAGGUAGGCAGUGAAAGAAUCUGGGAUGAAGGGAACAAGCUUACUUUUAUCUUCAUUCACUGUCAGCUUAGGAGACCAAGUGAGGAAUGCAACACUAGGAUUCUUGACCAGAUUUCUACUAAAGCAAAGACUUAAGUUUGCAGACAAAGGAACUGAUCCCAAGAAGAGUUUACUUGCCCAAGAUGUCACAGCUAUAAAAUGGAAGAACAUAAUUUAACUCCCAGAAAGUUGGACUUCCUAGAGUCUAUCACAAUGAGGAGAAAUGCACAUCUGAAUGUUUAAGUCAUCAUGGAGAAUAUUAAAGAAAUUUUUGUAUUUAGUUGCUAAUUACUAUUUACAUCUCCUUGACAUUUACAACAUAAUAAUGGCUUGAUUAUUUAAAGGGAUUGAGAAAAACAGUGCCAAACUUACUGGACACCUGCUAUGUUCUCAGCACUGUGUCAUUUCAUAUGAUCAGCAAGAAAGUUUAAAAACUUUGUUUGAUUAUCCAUUAUGCUAAAAUAAAGGCACUUCGCUCUAAUAUUCAGAUUUCUUAAAUUGUUUUAAAAUAUACCUGAAAAAGAAGAUUAUAGUAAAAUGAUGGGUAAAAUUAGAAACAAAUGAGCAAUUGAAUUGAAAGAUUACUUGCCCAUUUUCAACAUUUGUCA